rnacentral:rRNA from 1 species
AGAUUGAACGCUGGCGGCAGGCCUAACACAUGCAAGUCGAGCGGUAGAGAGGUGCUUGCAUCUCUUGAGAGCGGCGGACGGGUGAGUAAUGCCUAGGAAUCUGCCUAGUGGUGGGGGAUAACGUUCGGAAACGGACGCUAAUACCGCAUACGUCCUACGGGAGAAAGCGGGGGACCUUCGGGCCUCGCGCCAUUAGAUGAGCCUAGGUCGGAUUAGCUAGUUGGUGAGGUAAUGGCUCACCAAGGCGACGAAUCCGUAACUGGUCUGAGAGGAUGAUCAGUCACACUGGAACUGAGACACGGUCCAGACU